rnacentral:rRNA from 1 species
AACGAACGCUGGCGGCAUGCCCAACACAUGCAAGUCGAACGAGACCUUCGGGUCUAGUGGCGCACGGGUGCGUAACGCGUGGGAACCUGCCCUUAGGUUCGGAAUAACUCCCCGAAAGGGGUGCUAAUACCGGAUAAUGUCUUCGGACCAAAGAUUUAUCGCCUUUGGAUGGGCCCGCGUUGGAUUAGCUAGUUGGUGGGGUAAAAGCCUACCAAGGCGACGAUCCAUAGCUGGUCUGAGAGGAUGAUCAGCCACACUGGGACUGAGACACGGCCCAGACUCCUACGGGAGGCAGCAGUGGGGAAUAUUGGACAAUGGGCGAAAGCCUGAUCCAGCAAUGCCGCGUGAGUGAUGAAGGCCUUAGGGUUGUAAAGCUCUUUUACCCGGGAUGAUAAUGACAGUACCGGGAGAAUAAGCUCCGGCUAACUCCGUG